rnacentral:rRNA from 1 species
UACGGGGGGGGCAAGCGUUGUUCGGAAUUACUGGGCGUAAAGGGCGCGUAGGCGGCCUCUUAAGUCGAACGUGAAAUCCCCGGGCUCAACCCGGGAACUGCGUUCGAGACUGAUUGGCUUGAAUCCGGGAGAGGGAUGCGGAAUUCCAGGUGUAGCGGUGAAAUGCGUAGAUAUCUGGAGGAACACCGGUGGCGAAGGCGGCAUCCUGGACCGGCAUUGACGCUGAGGCGCGAAAGCCAGGGGAGCAAACGGG